rnacentral:rRNA from 1 species
UUUGCGCAUGGGCGGNAAUCCUGNGCACGACGCCGCGUGGGGGAAUGAAGGCCUUCGGGUUGUAAACCUCUUUCAGCAGGGACGAUAGCUGGAAGUGACCGGUACCUAGCAGAAUAAGCGCCAGCGUAUAACUACAGUGCCANCAGCCGCNAGCUAACACGUAGGGCCCAAGCGUUGUCCGGAAUUAUUGGGCGNAAAGAGCUCGUAGGCNGUCUGUUGCGUNUGNUGUGAAAUCCCNGNGCUUAACCCCGGGCUUGCAGNGGAUACGGNCAGGCUAGAGGCANGCAGGGGAGAAUGGAAUUCCCGGUGUAGCGGUGAAAUGCNCAGAUAUCGNNCAGGAACACCGGUGGNCAAGGCAGUUCUCUGGGCCUGUCCUGACGCUGAGAGAGCGAAAGCGUGGGGAGCGAACAGGAUUAGAUACCCUGGUAGUCCACGCCGUAAACGUUGGGCGCUAGGUGUGGGGUCCUUCCACGGACUCUGUGCCGCAGCUAACGCAUUAAGCGCCCCGCCUGGGGAGUACGGNCNCAAGGNUAAAACUCAAAANAAUUGNCGGA